rnacentral:rRNA from 1 species
UACGUAGGGUGCGAGCGUUAAUCGGAAUUACUGGGCGUAAAGCGUGCGCAGGCGGUCUGUUAAGACCGAUGUGAAAUCCCCGGGCUUAACCUGGGAACUGCAUUGGUGACUGGCAGGCUUUGAGUGUGGCAGAGGGAGGUAGAAUUCCACGUGUAGCAGUGAAAUGCGUAGAGAUGUGGAGGAAUACCGAUUGCGAAGGCAGCCUCCUGGGCCAACACUGACGCUCAGGCACGAAAGCGUGGGGAGCAAACAGG